CUUCACCGAGCCCAGCCGCAGCGGCCGGCCCUCCGGCCGGCCCCGUCCGUAGGUGGCCAGGAGGGCCUGUGCCUC
rfam:Streptomyces bingchenggensis BCW-1, complete genome.